GAGAGCUUGCUCUCUGGAUCAGUGGCGAACGGGUGAGUAACACGUGAGCAAUCUGCCCCUGACUCUGGGAUAACAGCUGGAAACAGCUGCUAAUACCGGAUACGAGUUGCGAAGGCAUCUUCAGCAGCUGGAAAGAAUUUCGGUCAGGGAUGAGCUCGCGGCCUAUCAGCUUGUUGGUGAGGUAAUGGCUCACCAAGGCGUCGACGGGUAGCCGGCCUGAGAGGGUGACCGGCCACACUGGGACUGAGACACGGCCCAGACUCCUACGGGAGGCAGCAGUGGGGAAUAUUGCACAAUGGGCGAAAGCCUGAUGCAGCAACGCCGCGUGAGGGACGACGGCCUUCGGGUUGUAAACCUCUUUUAGCAAGGAAGAAGCGAAAGUGACGGUACUUGCAGAAAAAGCGCCGGCUAACUACGUGCCAGCAGCCGCGGUAAUACGUAGGGCGCAAGCGUUAUCCGGAAUUAUUGGGCGUAAAGAGCUCGUAGGCGGUUUGUCGCGUCUGCUGUGAAAACCCGAGGCUCAACCUCGGGCCUGCAGUGGGUACGGGCAGACUAGAGUGCGGUAGGGGAGAUUGGAACUCCUGGUGUAGCGGUGGAAUGCGCAGAUAUCAGGAAGAACACCGAUGGCGAAGGCAGAUCUCUGGGCCGUAACUGACGCUGAGGAGCGAAAGGGUGGGGAGCAAACAGGCUUAGAUACCCU
rnacentral:rRNA from 1 species